CUCAGAGACCAAGAAUUAUGGAGUUAAGAAGAAUAUCAUAUCCACACAAAGAAACAGAUGCCCCCACCACCCCCACAAAUGCUUCAGCCAAAAUACCUUUUCAAUGGAUGAUCAGUGGUUAGUGACAUAUCCAUCACUGGGUACCGACACAUCCACCACUAUUUCUGAAUUGUUGGAAAUUGACAUGUUAAAUAUAAAUGAAAAAUCGAACAAACAGAUCUACACAGCUCUUUACAUGGAUUCAGUAACCCAGUAGCAGCAGUGUAUGGUGUGGACAGACAAUAUUUUGAGUCAGAGAUAUAUAUAAGCAGAGCCAGUGCAAGGAUGUCUGAUUACACAGGCAAAAAUGCAUUUUGAUGUCCACCUCCCCCAAAAAGUAUCUUCACCUGUGUGUCUCAUACCCCUCUUUCGAAUUUGUUAACUCCUUUAGUGUUUCAUAUCCCCUCUUUUGAAUGUCUUACCCCUAUUUGCCCCUAUAUGUGUCUUACAUCUC